AAAAUUCAAUUCAAGUAUAAAUCCUAAGGAAGUAAAGCAUUGUUCUUUUUGGGGCAAAAAAAAAAAAAGCAAUUGUUCUUUUGACAAAAAUCUACACGGACUUAUCAUCAUCAUUAUCUCAAUUAUAUAACAAGAAAUGAUUCCGAUGAUACUGAUAUAUGGCAUGGAGGAGAUUGUGAUAGACAUCGAAGAUAAUCCACCUAGUUGAGCAGAGAGUUGUAUAGUGUUGGUGAUGGGAUUGGUAUUGGAACGACAAAAGGAGAAGGAUGAUCAAUUGGGAAAAGAGAGAGUUGG
rnacentral:lncRNA from 1 species